AUGGCUUCACCGACUUGUGCAUCGUCCGAGGUCUGUUUCCUUUUCCUAGGGUUUAACAAAAUUGCAUGGGUUAUUGGUCAAGAGGAGGCCCACAUGCAACAAGGAGCAAGGUGUACGAAAUUUUUUUGGAACCAAGAUACUCAUUUCGAAUUUAGUGUUUUAUUGCAUCAACAUAACAAUUUACUGUUUUAUUGCAGGGGUACUGGCUACUUCCCCUUUCUUCCUCUGCCAUCUUCCCAGCAGCCAUGA
rnacentral:rRNA from 1 species